AUAAGCAUCAACAUGUGAUGUAAUCCCAACUUUUUAAAUUAUACAAUAUGCUCCAAAUACUUGUAGUAGUAGUAUACUAUGUAUUCAAAUUCAGGUUAUGGCUGGGGUUACAGAAAUGUUCGUGUCAAUACAGUUAAUUUUGUAGAUGAUACUACUAGUUUACUCAACUGUGGACCUCUAUCUCAACUCUCUGAAAUAUCUACUCAUAUAACCGGCAGGUAUCAUAUAUAUGAUGUAUAAUUCUCCUCGUCUUCAAACAAUUAGCUUCCCCCUGCAUGAAACUGUUUCCUAUAGUUCAUCUCUAAUUUCACGACUGUGUUCUUUCAAAUUCUUGUUGAUGAGAGCAGCCAAUUCCUUUGUGCUUGAUUUUGUAGGAAGUGGUAUUGGAUUAGUCUUGUCAUCUGCUAAGUAGAAGAGAAGAGUUGGAUAAUCAUCAACCUGUAAUUUCGGAUGUUCAUUUAGGGAAGCAUCUAUCCUUGCAAAGAUCAAGUUAUCCAAACCUUUGAAAUGCUUGGCCAACUUCUCCAUUUGCUUGCUUGUGGUUUCACAAGUUAUGCACCAUGGUGUGUAUAUCUCUAGAAGAAUGUUUUCGGGACUGUUCAGGAUCAAUUCAUCAAAGGUCUUACCAACAACUGUCAGAAUGCUCAUGUUCUUGUUAUCAGGAAUUGGCUGUGAUUUGUAGUAUGGUGACACAGUUCCACUCAGAAGACCUGAACAAAAUUCUUCUAUGCUUGUUGGCGUGGUAUCUGACUCCAACAAGUACUUCAAGCUGCUACUGUAGUUGAAAGAUACUACCACAGAGUCUUUUGAUUCUUCUAGACCAACCAUACUUAGGAAGGGCUUUGCAAGAUUUUCCUCUCUAAUAUCUACAAAUAUGAACAUUAUCUUUGAUUUGAACUUUCUUGCAACGUCUUGCAAAGGUUCAACAAGUUUCUUGAAGUCAUCAGUCUCAGCAAUUAUCAACACCUGAAGUUUGUUUAUGUUGGAGUAAACUUUAGCAGCGUUAAGUUCAGUCAGUACUGUAGUUAAGGGGAACUUGUUAUCAUCCAAAAACUGCAAGAUACCAUCUGUACUGAAGAUUCCUUCAUAUUCAGUGUAUUUCUCUGGCUCACUUUUAACUAGACCAAGGAAAAGACUGGUUGGCUUAAAAUCAGGGUAAAGGUGCUUGGCGGUUUCUGCAUUGUUAGUUUCCACAAACUGAAUUUCGUUGUCCAUUUCGGCUGCUUUUGUAAAAGCAUCAUAAUCGGGUCCCUCAAAUUUCUCAAACAGACCAACCACAAAGAUGGAAUGCUUCUUGAGAAAGUGUCUUGCCUCAGCAUCUGAGCUAAUUCUAACAAUAGGUACACCUGUCUUCUUCCUUGCCCAGAUAACAAGUUCUUCCGCGGAGAAUCCACCAGUGUAAGGUUGAGAAGUGCCAUUGACAAACAGAAGCAAAGUCGGGAACCCUCUGAUCUCGAGAGUAGAAGCAACUUUAGGGUAUCUUUCAGCAUCAAUCUUCGCCAUCAAGAGCGGACUCCCCAAUUCUUUGAGAGCAGUUGCAGCCUCAGCAAAUUUCGGCAUUAACUCCGCACUCCUGGCGCACCACGGGGUGUAACCCAGAACCAAAACAUACUCAUUUCCAUCAAUUGCCCUCUUAGUAUUGUCAUUGUUAAGCUCAAGUACUAUUCUUUGAGCCUUACUUACAAACUCAGCUUCAGAUGGUUUCUCAUGAUGCCCCCCUUGCGGUUUUUGCUGCAAAUCAUCUUCUUCAUCCAAUGCCAUGAGUUCUUCCAAACCUUCCAUGUCAUCACCCUCUUCAUCAUCUAAGUCAAGCUCAGAAGAAAUUGACGGAGCCAAAAAGCUGAACAAGAGAAGAAGGAUUAAGGUAAAAAGGAUGAAUCUUGAAGUGGGUUUUGGAGUAAACAUGAUAAAGCUCGAGUGUAAAGAUCAAUUCUUGUUGGGAUUUCUAGUUUUUAUACUGAAAAAUGGGUGAAAAUUUGAUUGGGAUCUAUGAAGAUGUAAAGUGAAGUGAAAA
rnacentral:misc_RNA from 1 species